rnacentral:rRNA from 1 species
GAUGAACGCUGGCGGCGUGCCUAAUACAUGCAAGUCGAGCGAACGGACGAGAAGCUUGCUUCUCUGAUGUUAGCGGCGGACGGGUGAGUAACACGUGGAUAACCUACCUAUAAGACUGGGAUAACUUCGGGAAACCGGAGCUAAUACCGGAUAAUAUUUUGAACCGCAUGGUUCAAAAGUGAAAGACGGUCUUGCUGUCACUUAUAGAUGGAUCCGCGCUGCAUUAGCUAGUUGGUAAGGUAACGGCUUACCAAGGCAACGAUGCAUAGCCGACCUGAGAGGGAGAUCGGCCACACUGGAACUGAGACACGGUCCAGACUCCUACGGGAGGCAGCAGUAGGGAAUCUUCCGCAAUGGGCGAAAGCCUGACGGAGCAACGCCGCGUGAGGGAUGAAGGUCUUCGGAUCGUAAAACUCUGUUAUUAGGGAAGAACAUAUGUGUAAGUAACUGUGCACAUCUUGACGGUACCUAAUCAGAAAGCCACGGCUAACUACGUG